rnacentral:lncRNA from 1 species
UCGUCUUGGAGUCACCAACCAUUGUUGGAUGUCUAUUGUUUGGUUGCAGGGCGGUUGACUGGUAUGAGGUCCAUGGCUGCGAGCAGCGCUGGAAGUCACAGGAAGGAGGUGGAGCGGCUUCGUCUUGCAUGGAGCUUUUGGUGGAGAUGUCAAGUCAUGCCUGGCCGACAGGUGCUACGCUGUGUCAUGCCUGAUCAGCAGGUGCUACGCACGACAAAUCUUUCAGAAUCUUCGCGUCUGGAUGGACGAGCGCGGGGCGGUGGCAUCGUUGGGCGCCGUGGUGGCGUCGACGGAUGGACGGACUGACAAGGAUGAUGCGGAUCUCUCUCUGAAGAUGGGUCAGCGGUCUGAUGAAGAUGGCAGCGUCUAGAACUUAUGCAUGUGGUGUAUAUUUUAGGUCUGCUGCACUGGCUGUUGGCUCUGAUACGUUAUGUGGAUGGAUCGGCGACGACACACGAUUUAGAUAUGGGGAGUGAGAGCACUCCACAUGACCGAGUUUUGUAGGUGUGAAUGGUAGCUUCGGAUGACUUGAUGUAUGUUCUUGUUAGACCUUUGUUGAAUAAUAAAUAAAAAUGGCCGUAUGCAUCGAUUGAUGCAGAGGCUGGGGGUCUUAACCUCCUUUUCCAAAAAAAAAUUUACUUUCCGGUGCCCCAAACAAAUAUACGGUUGGAAUUAACCGGGAUCGAUAAGGUCAGGGUGCUGAUUUCCAGGUUUAUGAGUUCAAGGUUCGAUUUCUUUAUGAGUUCAAGGUUCGAUUUCAGACUUGACGU